AGAGUUUGAUCCUGGCUCAGAACGAACGCUGGCGGCAGGCUUAACACAUGCAAGUCGAGCGCCCCGCAAGGGGAGCGGCAGACGGGUGAGUAACGCGUGGGAAUCUACCCAUCCCUACGGAACAACUCCGGGAAACUGGAGCUAAUACCGUAUACGCCCUUCGGGGGAAAGAUUUAUCGGGGAUGGAUGAGCCCGCGUUGGAUUAGCUAGUUGGUGGGGUAAAGGCCUACCAAGGCGACGAUCCAUAGCUGGUCUGAGAGGAUGAUCAGCCACAUUGGGACUGAGACACGGCCCAAACUCCUACGGGAGGCAGCAGUGGGGAAUAUUGGACAAUGGGCGCAAGCCUGAUCCAGCCAUGCCGCGUGAGUGAUGAAGGCCUUAGGGUUGUAAAGCUCUUUCACCGGAGAAGAUAAUGACGGUAUCCGGAGAAGAAGCCCCGGCUAACUUCGUGCCAGCAGCCGCGGUAAUACGUAGGGUGCAAGCGUUAAUCGGAAUUACUGGGCGUAAAGCGUGCGCAGGCGGUUUUGUAAGUCUGUCGUGAAAGCCCCGGGCUCAACCUGGGAAUUGCGAUGGAGACUGCAAGGCUUGAAUCUGGCAGAGGGGGGUAGAAUUCCACGUGUAGCAGUGAAAUGCGUAGAGAUGUGGAGGAACACCGAUGGCGAAGGCAGCYCCCUGGGUCAAGAUUGACGCUCAUGCACGAAAGCGUGGGGAGCAAACAGGAUUAGAUACCCUGGUAGUCCACGCCCUAAACGAUGUCUACUAGUUGUCGGGUCUUAAUUGACUUGGUAACGCAGCUAACGCGUGAAGUAGACCGCCUGGGGAGUACGGUCGCAAGAUUAAAACUCAAAGGAAUUGACGGGGACCCGCACAAGCGGUGGAUGAUGUGGAUUAAUUCGAUGCAACGCGAAAAACCCUACCUACCCUUGACAUGUACGGAAGCCACGAGAGAUCGAGGUGUGCUCGAAAGAGAGCCGUAACACAGGUGCUGCAUGGCUGUCGUCAGCUCGUGUCGUGAGAUGUUGGGUUAAGUCCCGCAACGAGCGCAACCCUUGUCAUUAGUUGCUACGCAAGAGCACUCUAAUGAGACUGCCGGUGACAAACCGGAGGAAGGUGGGGAUGACGUCAAGUCCUCAUGGCCCUUAUGGGUAGGGCUUCACACGUCAUACAAUGGUACAUACAGAGGGCCGCCAACCCGCGAGGGGGAGCUAAUCCCAGAAAGUGUAUCGUAGUCCGGAUCGCAGUCUGCAACUCGACUGCGUGAAGUUGGAAUCGCUAGUAAUCGCGGAUCGGCAUGUCGCGGUGAAUACGUUCCCGGGUCUUGUACACACCGCCCGUCACACCAUGGGAGCGGGUUUUACCAGAAGUAGGUAGCUUAACCGCAAGGAGGGCGCUUACCACGGUAGGAUUCGUGACUGGGGUGAAGUCGUAACAAGGUAACCA
rnacentral:rRNA from 1 species